ACUAAAUCUUGGUUAUGAUCCCACCCCGUGAUAGUAAUUUUCGCCUUCGACUCGGCUGUCGCCACCAAGGUGGACCGACUUGGGGGAAUGGCGGAUGUCGCAGGGCGAGAUGAGAUGGACGCCGCCGAGAACAGCCUCCACGGCGGCGUGGCAACGGGGCCAGCGGUCGGAGCUCAUCAGGCUGACCGAGCUUCCACUUCCAGAUUCGACACAUAUUUGACCUUAAAAAGGCACACAGUACUUUCGAAUAAAUCUUUUAUCAGUACAGCAAACAAGCAAAGUAAUAAAAGCCCUAAUCUACACAAAAUAUUUCAGCGUAUCAAUUGUUUUUAUUUGAAAAAUCCCUAAUCUACACUAGAAGAUGAAAGAAAAGGUAACAAUUUACAGAUCCGAAUAAAAGAUAUGCCUAUAUUCGAAACUAUGAAGUGAUAUGUUGUAAGUUUAUCGCAGAACUCACCUUCUUCGAUGUCGCGUUCGUUUCGCCGAGAAGACAAAGAAAUCCACUCAUUUUUUCUGCAAAUCUCCAAAAAAAAUUUCACAGAACGGCGGUUCUUUGUGGAGAAGAUUUUUGUAGUAUGAAAUUCAACCAUAUUCUACACCAGAAUCAUCGUGAAGAUGG
rnacentral:lncRNA from 1 species